UCAUUCUGCCUGUUAUGAUGAUGUACCUACUUUGUACAGGGUCUGAUACUAAUAACAGUACAUGCUAAUCGUGUUAUUCGUGUAAGGGACUUCAGUUGAUGCUCAUCGUUAACAUCACAUUUAUGUUAAAAUGUGUGGUCUAAGAAAUUUAGCGAUUCUGUUCCUGUUUGUUUUAUUUCAUAUGAACCUUUAUAGCUAUUCGCAGCUCAUUGGAGAAGAAAAGAAAUAUGUUUUUCUUGAACAAGCUGUGUUGGAGCGGGUGAGGUCCACAUUGCUAGAAAUGACAAAUACUCUUGAAGCAAGAGUAGGACGUCUGGAAGAGGACAACAAGCGAACAGAAAUGUCAAAGGCUCUUGAAGAAAGACUAGGACUGUUGGAAAAGGAACUGAACACCGUCAAAAAUAUGAAUCCUAUUAAUCCUUCAACAGCCAUGUCAAUAAACAGUUGUCCUGCGAAUCUAUUUCGUUGUGACAAUGGUUUAUGUAUCCCGAGAGAAUGGGUAUGUGACCACGAGAUCGACUGUUCGGACAAAUCCGAUGAGAAAUGUUAACCGUUGAUUGGCUGUCCCGCAUCAAACAACUGCGCCGUUGUUGGUCUUGAGUGUCCCCGAUUUGUGAUGGAUCCAGCGACCUUAUUUUCAAGCUUCAUUUCCAAGGAUAAGCUAGCAUUGUCAAACAGACGACUGGACAGCAGCUAUUACGGGCCAACAGAAAAUGACCGGAAUUACAAAGGGGCACAGGAAUCAACUGUGAUUACCAACCGACAAACAGUGUAAUUCGAAACUGACAUUUAUUACCGAAUGCAGCUGCAUCGGAAAAGGCAAUUUGUUAAAAUAACUAUGUUGGCGGCUGAAAAGGGGCGUGAUCCAUUUUUGCUUAUAAUAUAACAAAGAGUGUAACUAUCUGCAGCCAAUUUAAUGGCGGAAACAUCACGACCUUAAAAACUCUUAGUGACACCACUCUGAUACAGAAAAAUACUUUGAUUCUUCAUUUACUGAGUUGACGGAACCAUCGCUGUGUUUGACAUUAACACGAACAUGAAGAUAUACACCUUUAUCAACAUGGAUGAGUUUAUUAACCGACACGAGCAUUGAUUUUGAAAGCCAAUUUACCUUGUGGUCUGUUUUAGCUUAUACUCUCAUAUUAGGCAAAGGUUGCUAUGGAUACGACAACAGUAGGACAACAUUUCAAACAUUACCUAUUUUUGAUAAUAAAAACGGUGUAUACUAGUGGCAGAAUAAUGACACAGAUGGACGUUUCGUAGUAUAAUUGACAGUUAUUGUGAAUCUGGGAAAUGUUAGAUGUUGGGUUGACAUGUUAUAAUAAUGAUUUUUUUUAUUCUAAUUUAGACAUGAUUGACUACUAUGUUUAGGUGUUUGUCUAGUUUACGAUAUGGCCGUGUUAAGUACAUAAUAUAUACAUAUUACAAACACCAUAUAGACGAAUACGAAAAACCUAAACAUAGGAGACUAAAACACUAAAUGUUAGAUACCAGUUAGUUGAUUAAAUUUUGAUUUAUAUACAUGUUAGUGGAAAGUUAAUGUCAAACACAUAUAUACAAGAAUUUAAAUAAUA